UGAAGAAAUCGGCGCAGAAUGUCCGUUGUCUAAAUUGGCGACACAUUGGCCCAAAACAACAGAACUCCUGGUCAACGGAACUCUUUCACAACUACUCCAAACGGACUGUUUCAAGAUGAUUAACUUACCGAUGACACAAUAAAGUCUCCAUUUACAACCAAGAAUGGCAGUGAAUGGCCGUCUAUCAAGGCGCAUCCAUCCAUGAUAAAAGUAAUCCACCACAUGACUCUGGCGGGGUUAUAAAGCCCUUUUAAAGCGAAGCAUUUGUGCUAUGAGGAAAAACUCUACCGUGCACACAGAGAACAGAGCUCAAUGCUAACUGGGGGUGCAGCUGGACAACUAGAAGAGAGAAUAGUAGAACACUAUUAUUAAUACAGAUUCCUGGAUUAUUUUUUUAAAUAUGGCAAGAACCAAAACAAGCAAAGACUGAUGAUGAGUGCUCUGAGCAAACACCGCAGUCAAGACGCAUGAGUGACUUUACUGAGUUCUUCAUGUAAUGUUGGGCAUUUACUGUACGCAGAACUUCUAAUAAUUUAUGUGGAUGCCAUUUAAACCUGUUAGAUUUUGAUGUUUUAGUUUUGAGAUUAAUAAAAUGUUAUGCUUUAACAA